CAAGUCGAACGGUAAGGCCCUUCGGGGUACACGAGUGGCGAACGGGUGAGUAACACGCGGGUGAUCUGCCCUGCACUUUGGGAUAAGCCUGGGAAACUGGGUCUAAUACCGAAUACACCCUGCUGGCCGCAUGGUCUGGUGGGGGAAAGCUUUUGCGGUGUGGGAUGGGCCCGCGGCCUAUCAGCUUGUUGGUGGGGUGAUGGCCUACCAAGGCGACGACGGGUAGCCGGCCUGAGAGGGUGUCCGGCCACACUGGGACUGAGAUACGGCCCAGACUCCUACAGGAGGCAGCAGUGGGGAAUAUUGCACAAUGGGCGCAAGCCUGAUGCAGCGACGCCGCGUGAGGGAUGACGGCCUUCGGGUUGUAAACCUCUUUCACCAGGGACGAAGCGCAAGUGACGGUACCUGGAGAAGAAGCACCGGCCAACUACGUGCCAGUAGCCGCGGUAAUACGUAGGGUGCGAGCGUUGUCCGGAAUUACUGGGCGUAAAGAGCUCGUAGGUGGUUUGUCGCGUUGUUCGUGAAAUCUCACGGCUUAACUGUGAGCGUGCGGGCGAUACGGGCAGACUGGAGUACUGCAGGGGAGACUGGAAUUCCUGGUGUAGCGGUGGAAUGCGCAGAUAUCAGGAGGAACACCGGUGGCGAAGGCGGGUCUCUGGGCAGUAACUGACGCUGAGGAGCGAAAGCGUGGGGAGCGAACAGGAUUAGAUACCCUGGUAGUCCACGCCGUAAACGGUGGGUACUAGGUGUGGGUUUCCUUCCUUGGGAUCCGUGCCGUAGCUAACGCAUUAAGUACCCCGCCUGGGGAGUACGGCCGCAAGGCUAAAACUCAAAGAAAUUGACGG
rnacentral:rRNA from 1 species